GCUUACCUGUCCCGAUGGUAUUCACUAGACACGUUGCCUGUUUUCGUCUCGCGUUCUUAUGGGGCGUGAGAUGAACUAGUUGGUGCCUUGCGUGUUCCUUUCUGAGCCGUUGGCUCAUGCAUUGGCCCAUGCUCGGUAGCUGGUACUCUCGGAUGCUGAAAAUUGUGUGGGCAAAAGGGUUCGAACCCCUUCAUCACAAGCCCUGGCCUAGCGCUCGUCGCUCAAACCGGAAAGACGUUGCCCCUCGCCUUGGCCUUGCUGAGCCAUCGGUUCUAGCAACGGCCAUGCGUUGUGCUAUCGUCUCGAGGAAAGUUACCUGGUUGAUCC
rnacentral:misc_RNA from 1 species